AAAAAUUAAAAUAUUAGCCUUGGCAUUGGGUCGUGCAUUUUGGUUGAGGAUACUAUCUGCUUCAGUACCUGCGUCGUCGCGACUCUAUUAAUUUUGGGAAUAUUGUUGUGGCUGUCUUUGGCAUGAAGAAGUUGGCGUAUGGCCUCUCCUGUAUGUUCACGAGUGGAAAGUAAAGUGCUUAGACUGGAGAAACAACUCAUCAUGCUGAACUAUCUGUGCAUUUGUAUCCAUUCUACGGUCUCCUUAUAUCUUUGGACUAGUUCUCUACUGGCUUUGAAGAAAGCAGAAGAUCCACCGGCAUACCUCAGGAAACGUUCUCCUCACCUCCAGAAGCGCCGUUCAUAUCAAUAUUCACAGCCAUACUUGUUCCUGUAUUGCCAGCUGCUACAUUCUGUGAUCCAAUGGAAAUUCUACCAAGUUGUCUGUAACUCAGUCUGAGUCUACUUCAUGUGAAGUAUGAGUUGCUAUCGGCAGGCAUUAUAAGCCAAGGACCAUCUACUCUGAUUGGCCAGGUUCACCAGCAGUGUUUUCGUGAAGUCCUGAAAAGAGGUCUUGUUCGCAGACAGCACGGGCACACAGCCUCGUCAUGGACUUGGGGAGUCAAUGGCUGCAUAUGGCAGCUGCUAGUUUGUCUGCAAACUACAUCUCACAACCUCAGUGGAUCCAGCUUGCCCAGUAUUGGAGAGAAUCUGAUGAUCUUAGCCAUCCAAAACCACCAAGCCAACUCAAGUUGAGAGUAUUUGCCUGAACCUGUCAUCGUAAGUUCCGUCAUCAUAAUAACUUGUCUGAUCACAGAAUCACUGUCUCGCUUAACAGCUAUCAUCGCAUUCGGGAAAGAGCAUUCCCAAAGGUGUGUUGGCGUGUGUUCCGUGGUCUGAUGACUGUGUGUGCAGCAGCAAAAAACACAGGUCAACUGUGCAGCUGCGUGAAAUCAUAGCCUGCUGCAGCUGUUGACUUCAUGUACAGCUGCAGUGAUGUUUACAUUCUAGUUUUUAAAGUGGCUGCUAUGUAGCACUUUCUGCAAUGCUUACAUGUUGUACUUGUAACACUGCUGCUGCUGCUGCUGCUGCAUGUUGUACUGAGUGGUCGUAUGCACUGCUACAUCAAUACUGUGUUACUUGCUAUACUGGAAGUGCAGUGGUGCCAACCUAUCAUGAAUAUUCAGUGAUUGGUAUACUGUGGCACUGCCCUUGCCAUCACUUCUCUAGCCAACUUGCAAUGCAUGAUUGUGUUCUUUCUGUGUGUUUCUCUGCAGUCCCUGCCGUUCUUUUGUUCUGUGUGUGUGUGUGUGUGUGUGUGUGUGUGUGUGUGUGUGUGUGUGUGUGUGUGUGUGUGCGUGUGUGUGUGUGUGUGUGUGUGUGUAUGGUGAUGGGUGUGUCAUCAGCUAAUGCUUGGCUGACUAGCUACACUCCCCAGCAUUCACUCUCAUACUUGACUCUAAGGCAAAGUGACUGAGUAGCCAUGGUAGCUGCUAUCUUGUUAGACUGUGUGCUAGUACUUGUGUUCUUGGCAUGACAGGUAGAAAUAUGAUUGAUCGACUGUCAUGACCAAUCGAGCCAUCUUUCCAAUCCCAGAUGAUCCUUUGAAUUUCUCUCCCCUCUCCCAGGGAGACCCAUGUGACCUGUUUCUGGCAGUGACUAGGUACAAACGUGUGUGUGUACGUGUGCGGUUUCGUGUGUGUGUGUGUGUGUUUGUGUGUGUGUGUGUGUGUGUGUGUGUGUGUGUGUGUGUGUGUGUGUGUGUGUGUGUGUGUGUGUGUGUGUGUGUGUGUGUGUGUGUGUGUGUGUGUGUGUGUGUGUGUGUG